CCUACGGGGGGCAGCAGUGGGGAAUAUUGGGCAACGGAGGCAACUCUGACCCAGCAACGCCGCGUGAAUGAUGAAGGUCUUCGGAUUGUAAAGUUCUUUUCUAAGGGAAGAAGAAAGUGACGGUACCUUAGGAAUAAGCCUCGGCUAACUACGUGCCAGCAGCCGCGGUAAUACGUAGGAGGCAAGCGUUAUCCGGAAUGACUGGGCGUAAAGGGUGCGUAGGUGGUUUGACAAGUUAGUAGCGCAACUCCGGAGCUCAACUUCGGAACUACUACUAAAACUGUUAGACUUGAGUGCAGGAGGGG
rnacentral:rRNA from 1 species